AUGCUAGCGCUCCUCGCCGCCAUCGACCUGCAAGGAGGAGCGCCGUGUUGGACGCUGCCAUCUCCGACGCUGCUGGUACUCCUCCGCCGCUACGAGUGCCCCGUCACCUGCGCCCAGGUCAGCCGCGAAGUCGAGCUCCCCAUGCUUGACCUGCAAGAUGUACUGUGGUCAAGAACUGCUCUCUGCCGCGGGAGUAGAUUGGAAAGGCUGCUGCUGCUGCCACUACCACUCGCCGAUUCGGGCAUGGUAAAGACCACUCGGUUGCACUACUCCAUGUGUAGAUGA
rnacentral:rRNA from 1 species